ensembl:snRNA RNU6-1260P RNA, U6 small nuclear 1260, pseudogene
GUGCUCACCUUGGCAGCACAUAUACUAAAAUUGGAAUGCUACAGAGAAGAUUAGCAUAGCCCCUGCACAAGGAUGACACACAAAUUCGGAAAGUGUUCCAUAUUUUG